GCAUAUGAACCAUGGACCGCAUUACUUACGGAGGAAAAGGCAGACAAUCAGAAUUGAAUUUGUUGCAAGUAUUAUGUCUGGAAGAACCAUACAGGGAGAAGAAGGAGCUGACAUUAGGUAGCUCAAAGUGCACCAGUAUGCAUGAGCGAGUGCACCGAACAGAAAGACAGUUUCGAUCACUCCCAGCUAAUCAACAGAAACUACUUCCUCAGUUUCUUCUUCACUUGGACAAGAUCCGGAAAUGUGUUGAUCAUAAUCAAGAAAUACUACUGACCAUUGUGAAUGAUUGCAUACAUAUGUUUGAAAAUAAAGAAUAUGGAGAAGAUGGAAAUGGAAAGAUUAUGCCAGCAUCUACGUUUGACAUGGAUAAGUUAAAAUCCACAUUGAAACAGUUUGUGAGAGACUGGAGUGAAACUGGGAAAGCAGAAAGGGAUGCCUGCUACCAACCAAUCAUUAAAGAAAUUUUAAAAAAUUUUCCAAAAGAGAAAUGGGAUCCUUCUAAAGUAAAUAUUCUGGUACCUGGUGCUGGACUAGGAAGACUGGCCUGGGAAAUAGCUAUGCUAGGUUAUGCUUGUCAAGGAAAUGAAUGGAGUUUUUUUAUGCUUUUUUCUUCCAACUUUGUACUCAACAGAUGUUCUGAAAUUAAUAAAUAUAAGCUUUAUCCCUGGAUUCAUCAGUUUAGCAAUAACCGAAGGUCAGCUGAUCAGAUUCGACCCAUCUUUUUCCCUGAUGUUGACCCCCACAGUCUUCCUCCCGGUUCUAACUUUUCCAUGACAGCAGGAGAUUUUCAGGAGAUAUACUCAGAAUGCAAUACCUGGGACUGUAUUGCUACCUGUUUCUUCAUAGACACAGCUCACAAUGUAAUUGAUUAUAUUGAUACAAUAUGGAAAAUACUCAAGCCAGGUGGAAUUUGGAUAAAUCUAGGUCCUCUGCUGUACCACUUUGAAAAUUUGGCGAAUGAACUUUCCAUAGAAUUGAGCUAUGAGGAUAUAAAAAAUGUUGUCCUGCAGUAUGGAUUCCAGUUAGAGGUGGAAAAAGAAUCUGUCUUGUCAACGUAUACUGUGAAUGAUCUAUCCAUGAUGAAAUACUACUAUGAAUGUGUUUUGUUUGUGGUCCGUAAACCACAAUAA
rnacentral:lncRNA from 1 species